UACAGAGGUCUCAAGCGUUGUUCGGAUUCAUUGGGCGUAAAGGGUGUGUAGGUGGCGCCGUAAGUCGGGUGUGAAAUUUCGGAGCUUAACUCCGAAACUGCAUUCGAUACUGCGGUGCUUGAGGACUGGAGAGGAGACUGGAAUUCAUGGUGUAGCGGUGAAAUGCGCAGAUAUCAGGAGGAACACCGAUGGCGAAGGCAGGUCUCUGGGCCGAUACUGACGCUGAGGAGCGAAAGCGUGGGGAGCGAACAGG
rnacentral:rRNA from 1 species